GUCCUGGUUAAGUGGUUACUACAACAGAUUCAAAAUCUGUUUCUCUUGGAGUGUGUAGGUUUGAAACCUACCAAACA